GACACCCUCAUUUCUGCUACACAGUCCCCUGCGUAACUCUCUCUCGCUCUCUCUCUCGAUUUAUUAAGAUCUGGAGUCGCUUUCCUGCUUGACUUUUAUGACGAAAAUGACCCAUCAUUUCCCAUGAAUAAACAUCAACGUCUCUUCCUUUUUUUGUGCAAGUCUCCAUUUUUUCUUCCUUGUUUUCCUAUAAAAAUCAAGGCAUUGACGAGGGAAUUAUAGUUUUUGAGACACAAACAAAAAUGACCCAUCAUUUUUCCUACGAAUAAAAAUCAACUUCUCUCGAGUUUUCUGUGCCGUUCUCCCUUUUGCAGUGGACUGAGAGUUAUAGUAAUAUAUAGAUACAUGGGAGAAUUAGAUUUCCCUAGAGCAUCAUGUUAACAUCAGAUUUAGGGUUUCGGUUCUUAUGGAGUACAGCAGUGAAGUUACUUUUCGAAACACAAACACACACACACACGCAGUCCCUGAUAAUUAGAUCAUGUAUUUAUCUUCUCUCUACUUUUUCUGCUGAGCAAAACCUUUUUCCUGUGAUUUUCCCGUGGAUUCCAUGGAAUGACAAAACUAGAAGGCCCCUGUGGGUGGUUUUGCAAGGCUGCUAGAUGGGGAAUAUUGUCCAAAACCACUCUACUGUUAGCUUUGUUAAGUAGUUGCUUUCCGUUUUAUCUGUACACUGUUGACAGUGAUAUGGCCCGUAAUCCAGAUACGUGAACCUUUCUUAAUUACAUUGUAUUUAUUAUUAUCAAUGUCUUUUUCUUUCGUGAUAUAGCAUGUCACAUUCUUUGAUAAUGCUGAUUUAAUGGCUAGAUUGUCUAGAGCUUGAUAUGAAAGUUGCUAGCAGCUAAACUUUGCCCCUUGUACUUGCCUUCUUCAUUAACAAGUCGCCAGUCACAUCCACCCAGUAUACCUAGGUGUGUCUUAUUAUAUAUCUUGAUGAACCGUGCCGAUCACUUCCUAAAAGCACAUACUGUGCUAUUUAAUGCGUGAAUUUGAAGUGGGGUGCGUGUGCUAGCUAGAAGUUUAUACUGUAGUGGUCCGUAUUACUUAGUUGUGAGAGAAUUAAUCGUGGGAGAGAGCUUCUUUCAGCCCACUCGUGGAUAGGACAAAGGGGUUGAACUAGCUGCCGACUCAUUCAUUCAAGCACUAGUAGAAAAAAAGGCGAACGGUGUUUCUUUUGCUACUGUGAUUGUGUGAAUGAUGCGGGAGAUAAUUUUCCAUCCUCUCCUUUUCUGUGCUUGGACUGAAGGGAGCUCCUUCCUUCUCUUGCUUUCAUUCAUUGAAGAAACAGUCUAAUACUGUUUGUUCGCUGGUUAAAUUUCUACUUUUUUACCAUCACCAUCAUCUGCCAGCUGAUACUUUGGCUUGUACUGUUCUGUCAUAUCAUGAUCAACUAAUUAAUGUUCUUAAUUUUCUUGUUAUAAAUCUCUUCCACUAUUAGUACUGUCAUCCUGCCAAUACGUAGAAAGAAUUGUACAUUUUCUUACACAUAACUGUUUAAUGCUAAUUACCCACUGGCAUACCUGUUUUACUUUGCAGGGAAACAACACAUGUUGAACUGGUAGCCAACCAGUCGAUUUACUAUUCAAUUUCCUUGAAGAGAAAAACACCCCUCCUCCUCACUAUUUUGGGCAGACAAAGAGGCAUUCUCUCUGAAUUUUCCAUGUCAAAUGAAUUUAUAAGAUCAUUUGUUACUUGUCUUCCCUUUUCUCCUUAAUUUGUGACUUUUUUUGGAAUUGUUUUUGGACAAUAUUGAGACUUCCUUUGGAUAAUUUAAAUUCUGGCUAGCAACAUAUGAUAUGGUCUCCCAGAUGUCAAAACCUGGAACUGUUUGAAUUAA